rnacentral:rRNA from 1 species
UACAGAGGUCCCGAGCGUUGUUCGGAUUCAUUGGGCGUAAAGGGUGCGUAGGCGGCGGGGCAAGUCUGAUGUGAAAUCCCGGGGCUCAACCCCGGAAUUGCAUUGGAUACUGCCUUGCUCGAGUACUGGAGAGGGAACUGGAAUUUACGGUGUAGCAGUGAAAUGCGUAGAGAUCGUAAGGAACGCCGGUGGCGAAAAGCGGCACGCUGGAUCUCUUCUGACGCUGAGGCGCGAAAGCCAGGGGAGCGAACGGG